rnacentral:rRNA from 1 species
CCAGCUCCAAUAGCGUAUAUUAAAGUUGUUGCAGUUAAAAAGCUCGUAGUUGAACUUCUGUCCAGGUUCGUUUCGGCUCGCCGGGGCAACUCUGGACAUACGUCUGCAAGCUAAAAUCGGCCUUUACUGGUUCGACUUAGUGAGUAGACAUUUUACUGUGAAAAAAUUAGAGUGUUUCAGGCAGGUUUUAGCCCGUAUACAUUAGCAUGGAAUAAUGGAAUAGGACUAAGUCCAUUUUAUUGGUUAUUGGAUUUGGUAAUGAUUAAUAGGGACAGUUGGGGGCAUUAGUAUUUAAUAGUCAGAGGUGAAAUUCUUGGAUUUAUUAAGGACUAACUAAUGCGAAAGCAUUUGCCAAAGAUGUUUUCA